AUGAUCAUGAGUUUUUCACCUAAAAUUGACCUUUUUUACCCCAAAUCGCCUUUAUCCACAGCAAAAUUGCCAUUUUUAACCCAAAAUCACCAUUUUUACCCCAAAAUUGCCAUUUCCCCCCUCAUGAUCACCAUUUUUUCCUGCAUGAUCACAUUUUUUUUGCCCCAAAAUCAACAUUUUUACUUCAAAAUCACCUUUAUCCACCCCAAAAUCACCAUGUUUUACAACAAAAUUGCCAUUUUUACCCCAAAGUUGACGUUUUUUCCCUCAUGAUCACAAGGUUUUGUCACAAAAUCACCAUUUUUUACCAUAAAAUCACUUUUUUUACCCCAAGAUUACCCUUUUUCCAUCGAAUUUACCCUUUUUACUUCAUAAUCAUUUAUCCACCCCAAAAUCGCCAUUUUUCCCCUCAUGAUCAUGAGGUUUUUCACCCAAAAUUGACCUCUUUUACCCCAAAAUCGCCUUUAUCCACACCAAAAUCUCCAUUUUUUUACCCCAAAAUCACCAUUUUACCCCAAAAUUGCGAUUUUCCCUCUCAUGAUCACCAUUUUUACCCCAAAAUCAACAUUUUUAACCACAAAUUUGUCAUUUUUUCCUCAUGAUCACCAGUUUUUGCCCCCAAAACUGCUCUUUUUACACCAAAAUCAUCUUUAGCCAUCCCAAAAUCACCAUUUUUCCCUCAUGAUCAUAAAUUUUUCCCCCAAUUGCCUUUCUCCAUCCCAAAAUGACCAUUUUUACUCCAAAAUCACAUUUAUCCAUCUGAAAAUCACAAUUUUUACCCAAAAUCACCAUUUUUCCCUCAUGAUCACAAAUUUUUACCCCAAAAUCAACAUUUUUUACCUCAAAAUUGCCAUUUUUACCACAAAAUUGCCAUUUUUUCCCCUCAUGAUCACCAGUGUUUGCCCCAAAACUGCUCUUUUUACACCAAAAUCAUCUUUAGCCACCCCAAAAUCACCAUUUUUACCACAAAAUCACCAUUUUUCCCUCAUGAUCACAAAUUUUUACCCCAAAAUUGCCAUUUUUUCCACAAAUUUGUCAUUUUUCCCUCAUGAUCCCCAGUUUCUGCCCCAAAACUUCUCUUUUUACACCAAAAUCAUCUUUAGCCACCCAAAAUCACCAUUUUUCUCCUCAUAAUCACAAUUUUUUCUCCCAAAAUCUCCUUUAUCCACCCCAUUUUACCCCAAAACCGCCAUUUUUACGCACAAACCCACAAUUUUUUACUCCAAAAUCACAUUUUUCUACCCCAAAAUCACAUUUACCCACCCAAAAUUGCCGUUUUUAACCCCAAAGACCGCAUUUUUACCCCUAAAUCACCAUUUUUAAUUCAAAAUUGCCCUUUUUUACCCCCAAAUCAACAUUUUUUAGCUCAAAAUCGCUGUUUUUUGGAGAGAAAAUGUGGGGGGUUGAGUUCAUGGAGGUUUGGGGGGAGCUGGGGUCCCUCC
rnacentral:lncRNA from 1 species